UUGUGAUUUUGGUAUAAAUACGCACGUCAGCUGGCUCACCUGUUUGCCAGUUCGAUAGUUUGCUAAGUUCUCCAAUAGUAACGUUAAACAAACAAACGCUCCAAACACUCGAUGGGAUCCACGCAGUUUACCGCCAAAAAGCUUUUUGGCCAGAGGUCGACACAUCAUCCUCAAAAUCACACUAGGAGUUUGAGACCAAUCUGUAAAGCAGCUUACAAAAGUGUACACAACGAUCAGUGUUGCCAACUAUUUCCAAGAGGAGGGGAGACUGCGGACUUGGAUCCAGACAGAUCUACGGCCUAAGCAGUUCUACGUCCCAGGCAGUUUUACACCCCUGUUGUCCCUGAUGCGUCCAGUAGAGGGAGGCAGUGCAGUAUUUUUUUAAGCCUCCAGAACUAUACCACACAACCAUAUUUGCAUUCAAUUACAUUUAAUAUAAUGCUAUAAUGUUCUAGUNUAAACAAUUAAACUAUCAUAUAUAUAUAAAUAUAUGCAAAGAAACUCACAAUUUUAAAUGGUCUACUGAUUUUUAUUUAUAUAGCUAUACAGUGCAUUUUGUAUAUUAGCUAUGAAGUUUGCAUUGCACAUGCAAUAAUAUUGUUGUUUUCUAAUAUUUGUUGUUACAAUUUGUUACAAAGAAAAUAAUAAAAUAUGGGAAAGUCGGUAUCACAAUUUGUAGCUGCAAAUAAAAAAUAAAUAAAAAUGUCUUGGUCCUUUUGUUUUACCUUGUUAUAAUUCUUAAAGAAUAAAUCAAAUAUAUAAAAACAUAUUUUGAUAAGUUUUCGCAUUGGUCUAGGUAAUAUAUAAAAUGGCAUGAUUUUUUUAUUUAUUUAUUUUUUUGCUUUUCAUUUGCCAUUCUUUCCUUUUUUGGGGGAUUAAGAAUUUUUAGAUAUUUGGUCUAGAAGCAGAUCAAACUUUUAAGUGCGUAAAGGAUUUUUGCAGAGUAUUUAUACAUAACUAUUUGUUUAUUUUUUUAGUGAGCAUGAAGAAUUUGAUGCAAGGAUUCAGCUUCAUUUUAAGAAAGCUGCCAAUCUAAUGAUAUUGUUGUCAAUAAAUAAAUGUAAAAAAA